UGGUGCGGUGGUGGGAUAUGGUAGAUGCAAUGAAGAUGGUGCGGUGGUUGUACAUGGCAGAUGCGAUGAAGAUGGUGCGACGGUGGCGUGACAACCUGUGAACAGAAAUUGAAACUCUAAAAGACUACAUGCUAAGAGCAACAACUCUACACGAUGAUGCAACCGCAAAUUCAACAAAGCAAAACACCGAACAAAAAAUUGCAACAGGCUCAGAUUUGUUCGGAUUUGAUGAACUAACCCUAAGUUUUUUGUGUGGCUUUUUUAUGGACUAUAGGUAUGAAGAACAGAUUCAAUUAAACUACGAAAAACUGGUAAAAUCUCACCGAGCAAUCUGGAAAAUCUGAUACCACUUGAUAAAGGUGAGGUUGUCCCUAUCUUUCGAUGAGAUGGUGGCUAUCGUUUUUGAUGGAGUAGACUUUGAUGAUCUGACUACGAACGUGUGAGGACGUCACGCCUUAGCAAUUGCUAAACCAACUCUGUAAGGUUA
rnacentral:lncRNA from 1 species